GCACUAGGUCUGAAUGAGCGGGUCCUGGGAUUCUACCAGCCCAGCCUAGGCUAGCCAUGCGGUCACUCCACCCUCAGGGAGCCGUGAGGGGUGGGUAGCAUGGGGGCAGGAGGAGGUCACUAUGCAAGGAAAUGCAGCCAUUGUCACUGGGCUCCUAUGAAAGGACACAGUGACAUGGAGUCACUGCAGCCUCUGAGGAUGUGGCACACGUGUGCACAUAUUCACACAUACAGGAGGUGAAGCCGGACAGCCCACAAUGAACACACCAGAACUCCUGCAGGACACAUGGCAGCAGGCACAGCCCACAUGUGACAUCCCGUUACAUAGCCCAGCCUGGAGCCUCACUGGGACCCAGCACAAGCAGAGAUGUCAAUAGGGACCCAGCAAAACACACCCAGCAUCCUGUAGGGUCAUGGUCACAAGCACCACACACCAGACACAGAUUCAGAGAGACUGUCACACACCUCACAGGAUAAGGAAAUGAAACAGGCCACCAGCAGUUUACACAAACAUCCUCUACGGAUGGGGUCAUAGUCACAAACGGGCACACGACCUGACUCGUCACAGUCCAGACACACACCAUACAUGGAGGUCUGACACACCACCAUCUCACAGACUGCCCGGUGGUCAUGCCCCCACUCAGUUUGACAUUUCACGGCCCCACACACUCAGGCCUGGGGAGUCCCACAUGGCCCAGCAGACGGCAGUUGACCCGUCAUAGCCAGACACACUGUCACAGCCCGGCCUGGUCCCAGACGGAGCAGUCCCACAAACCCAGACACCUUCCCAGGGUUGUGGCCCUCACAAGCCCAGCUCGUGCCUGGGCCUCAGGACAAGUCCUGGCUGCACCCUGGGAAUUCACUCACCCCCAGCGCUGAGCCCUGGCCACGCCCUCCGGACACACCCCACCCACCUGCCUGCUGCCAGAAAAACUCUGGGCUCAGCACCUUCUCACCACGUGAGCGCUGCUCCGGCCCCGCCCUCCUCACUGGGGUGGCCAGGCCCCGUAGGGAUAAGGCAGCUCAGGCUUCCAGCCAACCGCAUG